GACGAACGCUGGCGGCGUGCUUAACACAUGCAAGUCGAACGGAAAGGCCCUGCUUUUGUGGGGUGCUCGAGUGGCGAACGGGUGAGUAACACGUGAGUAACCUGCCCUUGACUUUGGGAUAACUUCAGGAAACUGGGGCUAAUACCGGAUAGGAGCUCCUGCUGCAUGGUGGGGGUUGGAAAGUUUCGGCGGUUGGGGAUGGACUCGCGGCUUAUCAGCUUGUUGGUGGGGUAGUGGCUUACCAAGGCUUUGACGGGUAGCCGGCCUGAGAGGGUGACCGGCCACAUUGGGACUGAGAUACGGCCCAGACUCCUACGGGAGGCAGCAGUGGGGAAUAUUGCACAAUGGGCGGAAGCCUGAUGCAGCAACGCCGCGUGCGGGAUGACGGCCUUCGGGUUGUAAACCGCUUUCGCCUGUGACGAAGCGUGAGUGACGGUAAUGGGUAAAGAAGCACCGGCUAACUACGUGCCAGCAGCCGCGGUGAUACGUAGGGUGCGAGCGUUGUCCGGAUUUAUUGGGCGUAAAGGGCUCGUAGGUGGUUGAUCGCGUCGGAAGUGUAAUCUUGGGGCUUAACCCUGAGCGUGCUUUCGAUACGGGUUGACUUGAGGAAGGUAGGGGAGAAUGGAAUUCCUGGUGGAGCGGUGGAAUGCGCAGAUAUCAGGAGGAACACCAGUGGCGAAGGCGGUUCUCUGGGCCUUUCCUGACGCUGAGGAGCGAAAGCGUGGGGAGCGAACAGGCUUAGAUACCCUGGUAGUCCACGCUGUAAACGGUGGGUGCUAGGUGUGGGGUCCAUUCCACGGGUUCCGUGCCGUAGCUAACGCUUUAAGUACCCCGCCUGGGGAGUACGGCCGCAAGGCUAAAACUCAAAGGAAUUGACGGGGCCCCGCACAAGCGGCGGAGCAUGCGGAUUAAUUCGAUGCAACGCGUAGAACCUUACCUGGGUUUGACAUGGAUCGGGAGUGCUCAGAGAUGGGUGUGCCUCUUUUGGGGUCGGUUCACAGGUGGUGCAUGCCUGUCGUCAGCUCGUGUCGUGAGAUGUUGGGUUAAGUCCCGCAACGAGCGCAACCCUUGUUCACUGUUGCCAGCACGUUAUGGUGGGGACUCAGUGGAGACCGCCGGGGUCAACUCGGAGGAGGGUGGGGAUGACGUCAAGUCAUCAUGCCCCUUAUGUCCAGGGCUUCACGCAUGCUACAAUGGCUGGUACAGAGAGUGGCGAGCCUGUGAGGGUGAGCGAAUCUCGGAAAGCCGGUCUCAGUUCGGAUUGGGGUCUGCAACUCGACCUCAUGAAGUCGGAGUCGCUAGUAAUCGCAGAUCAGCAACGCUGCGGUGAAUACGUUCCCGGGGC
rnacentral:rRNA from 1 species